rnacentral:rRNA from 1 species
CCUACGGGUGACAGCAGUGAGGAAUAUUGGUCAAUGGGCGGGAGCCUGAACCAGCCAAGCCGCGUGAGGGAAGAAGGUACAGCGUAUCGUAAACCUCUUUUGUCAGGGGACAAAGGCUGGGACUAGUCCCCGGAUGAGGGUACCUGAAGAACAAGCAUCGGCUAACUCCGUGCCAUCGGCCGCGGUAAUACGGGGGAUGCGAGCGUUAUCCGGAUUGGUGGGGUUAAAAGGGUGCGCGGGCGGCCUGUUAAGUCAGCGGUAAAAGCCCGGGGCUCAACCCCGGCGAGCCGUUGAAACUGGCGGGCUGGAGUUGGAGAGAGGUACGCGGAAUGCGCGGUGUAGCGGUGAAAUGCUUAGAUAUCGCGCAGAACCCCGAUUGCGAAGGCAGCGUACCGGCUCCACACUGACGCUGAGGCACGAAAGCGUGGGUAUCGAACAGGAUUAGAUACCCCAGUAGUC